CCCCCGCUACUACCUGCCACGAGCUCCUUCUCCACGAGAAUCCUCUUCGUCCCCCCUCUCUCACUCGAUCUAUCGGAUCCUCUCUGCCGACGGACUGAGUAGCGCAUCGCCGACCGAGACGAUUAGCGCACCGCCACCGACGCUGUCACUUGAUAACAAUCCCCGCGAGAUUGAAUCGGUGUUGCAGGUGAUAUAAUGGUAAGAAAGAGUUUUUAUGUUGUAAAGAGAGGUCGACGUUGUGGUAUUUUUUAUAAUUGGAAAGAAUGCAAAUCUCAAGUUGAUAGAUUCCCAAAUACCUUCUACAAAGGGUAUGCAACAUAUGAAGAGGCUUUGAGUGAAUGGGAGAAGCACUUAAGCGUGCGUGACUUAGCAUCCAGCUCAAGAGAUAUGCGUAAUCCACCUGUUUGUGUUCAAGAGCAAAUGUAUCCAGAGGUGCAUAAUCUUCUUCAAGACAAUGGACCACUUGGGGAAACUGCUAUUUCCUCCAUCCAUGUUUUUUUAUUAGGUUCAGUGUUUACAAAUUUAAUAUUUCUAGUAUGUAUCGUUGCAGUAUUUGUUGGUUUCUCUAUCGGGGGAAACAUUUGAUGUGAUUCGUGUAUGAUUUUUCAAUUUGAGAAUAAGCUUGCAUAACUUGGGUCAUUUUGUACUUAGUUUGUACUCAAUUAUGAGCUUGUUUGUUUACAAUUACAUUUACAUUUU